rnacentral:rRNA from 1 species
CCUACGGGAGGCAGCAGUGAGGAAUAUUGGUCAAUGGCCGGAAGGCUGAACCAGCCAUGCCGCGUGAAGGUCAGUGCCCUAUGGGCGUUAAACUUCUUUUGUGCGGGAGCAAUAAUGGUCACGUGUGGCCAGACGAGAGUACCGUACGAAUAAGCAUCGGCUAACUCCGUGCCAGCAGCCGCGGUAAUACGGGGGAUGCAAGCGUUAUCCGGAUUUAUUGGGGUUAAAGGGUGCGUAGGCUGUGAGGUAAGUCAGCGGUGAAAUGCCCCCGCACAGCGGGGUGAAGUGCCAUUGAUACUGCCUUGCUGGAAUGCGGAUGCCGUGGGAGGAAUGUGUGGUGUAGCGGUGAAAUGCAUAGAUAUCACACAGAACACCGAUUGCGAAGGCAUCUCACGAAUCCGCGAUUGACGCUGAUGCACGAAAGCGUGGGUAUCAAACAGGAUUAGAUACCCCUGUAGUC